UAUAAAGACAUUGAUUUGUCAUUUACCGAUCUAUCUCUGCUCAGCAUACAAUUGUCGACACACUUCAUAUUCAGUCUAGAUUGGAAUCUCCUUUGUGACACUACAGCUUCUGCGAUCAAUAUCGAGAAAUCAGUUGAAAUUCAAUUUGAACAGAAAUUUCAAUUGAAUUAUUCCAAUCGGCCAUGCUUGGUGUGGAGCGUUGGGAUGUGGAUCGAUUGGAUGUGGAUCGGAUGGGUGCUUGUACCAAAAUGGGAUGGGAACUUAGAAGUUUGCUCACAAAAGUGAACCUAAGAACAUAUUGUGCUCGAAAUUAUAUAAUCCAAGGACGUGAAGUACAUGCCUCUAAUUUCAAUCGAGAUAUUGAGAGGGUGUUUGAAGAUAAGGCACAUCGAUGGAGCAAAGAAAUGAAAAAGUAUGGAGUCAUAUUCAAGAGAAUUGAGAAGAAAUUGGACGGUGCUUUUGAGCAAAAUCAACAAAUGCAAAAGAGGAUCAAACGAAUCAAUCACAAACCAAACGAACAUGCGAGCGACAUUCAAUUGCUGUUAUAUUUAGAAAGAAAGAAACGGACUUAAAAUUGUAUUUUCUUCAUUUUUGUUAAUAAAAUGUUGUAAAAGGUGACGAGCAUCCGA